AUUGAACGCUGGCGGAAUGCUUUACACAUGCAAGUCGAACGGUAGAGGGGGCAACCCCUCGAGAGUGGCGAACGGGUGAGUAAUAUAUCGGAACGUGCCCAGUCGUGGGGGAUAACGUAGCGAAAGUUACGCUAAUACCGCAUACGAUCUAAGGAUGAAAGCGGGGGAUCGCAAGACCUCGCGCGAUUGGAGCGGCCGAUAUCAGAUUAGGUAGUUGGUGGGGUAAAGGCUCACCAAGCCAACGAUCUGUAGCUGGUCUGAGAGGACGACCAGCAGCACUGGGACAGAGACGCGGUCCAGACUCCUACGGGAGGCAGCGGUGUGGAAUUUUGGACGAUGGACGCAAGUCAGAUCCAGCCAUUCCGCGUGCAGGAUGAAGGCCCUCGGGUUGUAAACUGCUUUUGUACGGAACGAAAAGGUCUCUCUUAAUACGGGGGACUCAUGACGGUACCGUAAGAAUAAGCACCGGCUAACUACGUGCCAGCAGCCGCCGUAACAC
rnacentral:rRNA from 1 species